AGCUCAGUUUAAAAUACAUAAAUGUACAUUUGGGGAAAAUAAACAUUUGUUUUCUUUUAAGACAGAAGUUCAAUACCUAAAAACUGUUUAAUAAGAAAAUGAAAGCUGUAAAAUGUGUAAACAUUAUAUAUAUUUAUUUCUAAUAUGUGUAUACUAAGUAUAUUUAGGCAAAUACCUACAUUUAAAACUUACUGAAAUAUUAACAUGAUUCAUUUCAACGCAGAAUUUUAAAUGUGGAUGAUUUAAAACAAGUAAGUUGUUGUUGGUAAUGUAAUACAUUUUUAAUUACUACAUAUUUACCAUGAAAUGAGUGUUAUUAAGCAAAAUAUGUAAAUGAAUAAUAAAUAAACAGAAGGAACAGGAAGAGUCUCAUUCAGAAAGAGAGCGAACACACUGAGCUUCUCAUGAAUACGAGCGCUGCAGGACUGCGCGCACAAACCACACUGAGAUAUUUUCA